GACGAACGCUGGCGGCGUGCUUAACACAUGCAAGUCGAACGAAGAGCGAUGGAAGCUUGCUUCUAUCAAUCUUAGUGGCGAACGGGUGAGUAACGCGUAAUCAACCUGCCCUUCAGAGGGGGACAACAGUUGGAAACGACUGCUAAUACCGCAUACGAUCCAAUCUCGGCACCGAGGAUGGAUGAAAGGUGGCCUCUAUUUAUAAGCUAUCACUGAAGGAGGGGAUUGCGUCUGAUUAGCUAGUUGGAGGGGUAACGGCCCACCAAGGCGAUGAUCAGUAGCCGGUCUGAGAGGAUGAACGGCCACAUUGGGACUGAGACACGGCCCAGACUCCUACGGGAGGCAGCAGUGGGGAAUCUUCCGCAAUGGACGAAAGUCUGACGGAGCAACGCCGCGUGAGUGAUGACGGCCUUCGGGUUGUAAAGCUCUGUUAAUCGGGACGAAAGGCCUUCUUGCGAAUAGUUAGAAGGAUUGACG
rnacentral:rRNA from 1 species